UACAGAGGUGGCAAGCGUUGUUCGGAAUUACUGGGCGUAAAGGGCGCGUAGGCGGCCUUCUAAGUCGGACGUGAAAGCCCCAGGCUUAACCUGGGAACUGCGUCCGAUACUGGGAGGCUUGGAUUCGGGAGAGGGAUGUGGAAUUCCAGGUGUAGCGGUGAAAUGCGUAGAUAUCGGGAGGAACACCUGUGGCGAAAGCGGCGCACUGGACCAUAACUGACGCUGAGGCGCGAAAGCUAGGGGAGCAAACAGG
rnacentral:rRNA from 1 species